rnacentral:rRNA from 1 species
GACGAACGCUGGCGGCGUGCUUAACACAUGCAAGUCGAACGGAAAGGCCCCUUUGGGGGUCCUCGAGUGGCGAACGGGUGAGUAACACGUGAGUAACCUGCCCUUGACUUCGGGAUAACUUCAGGAAACUGGGGCUAAUACCGGAUAGGAAUCCUUGAUGCAUGGUGGGGGUUGGAAAGCUUCGGCGGUUUUGGAUGGACUCGCGGCUUAUCAGCUUGUUGGUGGGGUAGUGGCUUACCAAGGCUUUGACGGGUAGCCGGCCUGAGAGGGCGACCGGCCACAUUGGGACUGAGAUACGGCCCAGACUCCUACGGGAGGCAGCAGUGGGGAAUAUUGCACAAUGGGCGGAAGCCUGAUGCAGCAACGCCGCGUGCGGGAUGACGGCCUUCGGGUUGUAAACCGCUUUCAGCAGGGGCGAAGCUUGUGGUGACGGUACCUGCAGAAGAAGCACCGGCUAACUACGUG